CAAUGUCGCACAGCCAGUGUC
rnacentral:misc_RNA from 1 species